CCUACGGGUGGCUGCAGUGGGGAAUAUUGGACAAUGGGGGGAACCCUGAUCCAGCCAUGCCGCGUGUGUGAAGAAGGCCCUCGGGUUGUAAAGCACUUUCAGUGAGGAAGAACGCCUGGUGGUUAAUACCCAUCAGGAAAGACAUCACUCACAGAAGAAGCACCGGCUAACUCCGUGCCAGCAGCCGCGGUAAUACGGAGGGUGCGAGCGUUAAUCGGAAUUACUGGGCGUAAAGCGCGCGUAGGUGGCUUGAUAAGCCGGUUGUGAAAGCCCCGGGCUCAACCUGGGAACGGCAUCCGGAACUGUCGAGCUAGAGUGCAGGAGAGGAAGGUAGAAUUCCCUGUGUAGCGGUGAAAUGCGUAGAGAUCGGGAGGAAUACCAGUGGCGAAGGCGGCCUUCUGGACUGACACUGACGCUGAGGUGCGAAAGCGUGGGUAGCAAACAGGAUUAGAUACCCGGGUAGUC
rnacentral:rRNA from 1 species